GCUUCAUUAUAUCAGUUAUAGUUUAUUAGAAAUACUUUACUACUUGGAUAACCGUAGUAAUUCUAGGGCUAAUACAUGACUAAAUCCUCAACUUCGGAAGAGGUGUGUUUAUUAGUAUGAAAACCAUAUAUCUUCGGAUAUAAUAGUGAGUAAUAAUAACCUUUCAUAUCGUAUGUCGUAAGAUAACGAUAGUUCUUUCAAGUUUCUGCCCUAUCAGCUUUCGAUGGUAGUAUAUGGGACUACCAUGGCAGUAACAGGUAACGAAGAAUUUGGGUUCGAUUUCGGAGAGGAAACCUGAGAGAUGGCUACCACAUCCAAGGAAGGCAGCAGGCGCGUAAAUUACCCAAUCCUGACAUAGGGAGGUAGUGACAAUGAAUCACAAUGCGGAACUUUAGUUUUGCAAUUGGAUUGAGAACAAUGUACAAAUGUUAUCUAGAAGC
rnacentral:rRNA from 1 species